rnacentral:piRNA from 1 species
UGGUGCUUUAUAUCUGGAUGUCAAGGUU